UACGGGGGGGCAAGCGUUGUUCGGAAUUACUGGGCGUAAAGGGCGCGUAGGCGGUCCGUUAAGUUAGAUGUGAAAACUCUGGGCUCAACCCAGAGCCUGCAUCUAAUACUGACGGGCUAGAGUUCUGGAGGGGGUAGCGGAAUUCCUGGUGUAGCGGUGAAAUGCGUAGAUAUCAGGAGGAACACCCGUGGCGAAGGCGGCUUCCUGGGGCCAUCCUGACACUGAGAAGCGAAAGCUAGGGGAGCGAAACGGG
rnacentral:rRNA from 1 species